ACGUACACUCCUACGGGAGGCAGCAGUGGGGAAUAUUGCACAAUGGGCGCAAGCCUGAUGCAGCCAUGCCGCGUGUAUGAAGAAGGCCUUCGGGUUGUAAAGUACUUUCAGCGGGGAGGAAGGCGAUAAGGUUAAUAACCUUGUUGAUUGACGUUACCCGCAGAAGAAGCACCGGCUAACUCCGUGCCAGCAGCCGCGGUAAUACGGAGGGUGCAAGCGUUAAUCGGAAUUACUAGGCGUAAAGCGCACGCAGGCGGUCUGUCAAGUCGGAUGUGAAAUCCCCGGGCUCAACCUGGGAACUGCAUUCGAAACUGGCAGGCUAGAGUCUUGUAGAGGGGGGUAGAAUUCCAGGUGUAGCGGUGAAAUGCGUAGAGAUCUGGAGGAAUACCGGUGGCGAAGGCGGCCCCCUGGACAAAGACUGACGCUCAGGUGCGAAAGCGUGGGGAGCAAACAGGAUUAGAAACCCCUGUAGUCC
rnacentral:rRNA from 1 species